rnacentral:lncRNA from 1 species
AGGUGCUGCUGCCGCGGCCGCCAGGGAGGGAGGUGUCGGAGGGCGGGCCCCGCGCGGUGCUAGGGUUCCGUCUGGACUGGCGGUGACGUAGAGAACGGACUGCAGAGUUAAUAAACGUCGAGGGGAAGCUUUGAUGCGCCCCAUUUGGCCCUGAGAGAUGCCACGUGAUCGUCAUUUUAAAUCCUUUCCUGGGCUUCCCGAUGGACUCGAGUUUUUACUAUGUGAGCAUCCCGGUGCCUGCACAGCAAGGACUCUCAUUGGGUUCCACACGUGCUGCGCAGAUCCCUGACGCAGCGUUCACUGAACCUCAACUGCAGGAGCUUCAUUCCUGAGGACGCUGUUACCAAGAAUGACUUGCCUCUUGAAGAAUGAGUUUGCAAAGCCGGCAGUUAGAUUGCUGAUGUCCAAAGACAUGAAAAUUUCCAGGCUGACAAAUAAUUUCGCUGUCAUCGGUCAAGACUCCAGGAUGAUAUUCUGAGCCAUAUGUUAAUUUUGAUAACCACCUAGAACAAUAAAAGGUAAACAUGCUACCA